rnacentral:rRNA from 1 species
GAGGUCGCGUGCGCGAAGAGUCGAGCCGAGACGGAGAGAGCUAGAGGAGAGGUUUGGGAUUGAGAUUGGUGGUUGGAGGUGAGGGACGGCGCGGCGGCGGAGGCGAGGGAUGGCGCGGCGGCGGAGGCGAGCGGGAGCGCGGCAGCGUAGCGGAGGAGGAGGAGCGGUAGAGCCACGAGUGGCUCUCCUCGUGCCGAGCGGCGGCGUCGAUGAGGCGCAGCGACGAGAGGGCAACUCGAGCGCGCAGGGGUAGCGGACCUCUUCGCCUCCGACGUCGAGGACGUAGACGAGCCGGGAGAAAGGGAACAGUCACUCGCCGAGUACCGUCGAAGCCUAGGUGACACGUCGUGUACAACAGACAAGACGUUCUAGCUGCGACCGGAAGAUGCAGUACGCCACCGGUACCGGUCACGAGACGGCGGAGGUUGAAACCGGAGGCAGAGGUGAAGUAAUCCAACUGGGGAGAGAGAGAGACUGGAGACAAAAAAGGUACAUAACCGAACGUCCAGCGGCGGACCACCCAUGACCGAGCUUCCACUUCUCCAUGUGGUCGUCAACCUAGUUCUGAUAUACUCCCUUCGGUACCAACUACUAAGGAACGGAAAGGUCACGAACCCGCGUGGAUCGUCGACGAAGUGCGGAGGACUCUUACGGCCAUAGAGAAUGAAUCCAACCACGACAUGCCGAACCAACUCGAGUUUUAAGUUACCUCUGCCGUUAACAGUCAAAACCCGCAGCAGACAAGUUAAAAUGGCUUGAGGACUUGUGGCAUAUAAACAUACCGUUGUCGACCACUUCGUCGAACCUAGAGUAACCGAGUAGUACUCCAUAUAUGACCUAUACAGGGAUACCUAAUGUCUCUUAUAGAAUUCUUCUACGGUUUUAACCACUUGAGUUCUCCGACAACCUCCCUCCAGUUCAUACAACCCAAUAUCUCCGCUCGGGGCUGUGGUAGUCCGUAAGAAUGUAACACGUGGACUAGAGAUGGUACAUCUACCUUACCAGAUACACCCGAACGGGCUCUAACGGGGAGAGACGUCCACUUAACCCUGAAAUGUUUGAGCUGAAAACACGAAGGUAUUAGUUAUCAGGACUAACUUACUCAACAUAGCCAAUACAUUUGAGCGAAGUACGCACUGAAUGACACGUGUAUAUUCGAUACGAUAUAACAAGUAUGUGAAGGAUAAGGACACUGAGUAGUAGACCUACCAUCUCAUUAUUAAUCAACACUGCAAACAACCAUAUUAUAUAACUUGGAGGAAAACCAUAUAGUACAACGUAAAGGAUACUUUUGCGUGAUGACUAUACAUUAUCUGAAACCAUGAGACCUGUAAAAACAAAAAGAAUUGAAUACUUUAUAUUUAGUACGGAAUGGGCCGACGACCGAUACCGACCACGCCCACCCCACGUCGUUCGGCGUCCG